rnacentral:rRNA from 1 species
UUAGUUACCAGCACGUUAUGGUGGGCACUCUAAGGAGACUGCCGGUGACAACCGGAGGAAGGUGGGGAUGACGUCAAGUCAUCAUGGCCCUUACGGCCUGGGCUACACACGUGCUACAAUGGUCGGUACAAAGGGUUGCCAAGCCGCGAGGUGGAGCUAAUCCCAUAAAACCGAUCGUAGUCCGGAUCGCAGUCUGCAACUCGACUGCGUGAAGUCGGAAUCGCUAGUAAUCGUGAAUCAGAAUGUCACGGUGAAUACGUUCCCGGGCCUU